CAGCCGCGGUAAUACGAAGUGGGCUAGCGUUGCUCGGAAGUACUGGGCGUAAAGCGCACGUAGGCGGCUCUUUAAGUCGGGGGUGAAAUCCUGGAGCUCAACUCCAGAACUGCCUUCGAUACUGGCGAUCUAGAGUCCGGAAGAGGUGAGUGGAACUCCUAGUGUAGAGGUGGAAUUCGUAGAUAUUAGGAAGAACACCAGUGGCGAAGGCGGCUCACUGGUCCGGUACUGACGCUGAGGUGCGAAAGCGUGGGGAGCAAAC
rnacentral:rRNA from 1 species